UUUGGGACUCCUUUCAGCUGAAACAUUCACCUGUGCAGAGGUGACAGUUCUUUUCUGCCAAACUUAAUUUUCUCCUGAGUUCACAGUACUAAAGCACCUGAUCUUUCUGCUCGUGGCUCUCGUGGAUUUAGGCAGUACAGGCCUAUUUCUGUCCUCAGCAUUAUGCAACGGGGCUUCUCUCCUCUUCUGCCUUUAUCUCUUUUGACAUGAUCUCCCACCUUCUCUCCCUGCUCCCUGUUUGAUGUGUUUGUUCACAGUUAAGCAGCUUUUCACACAAGUGUCUAGUGGGUCUGUGUUGCUCCUUUUCCAGAGAGUGCCCUGAUGAACUCAGCCACUUAAACAGCGUGAUAAUUCAGAGAUGAGAUGUACCCUGAGGAGAGGAGGAUUUACCUUGACCCGUGCAAAUGAGGAAGAAUGUGAGAAGUGGUGCUCAGCUGAACUCCUGUACCCCUCACCUACUCAUGCUUUGCUGGCUUAGUAAAACUGGAACAUGUUCUGAAGCUGGGAUGUUGAUUUGAAACCCAGCUUUUGUUCGUGUUCAGUGUCUGAACUCCAGGCAAGUCCCUGGGGAAAUGCAGGGCUGCAAAAUCUCUCCUGGGGCUGGUGCAGCCCCCGAGUGACAUGAAACCUCUGGUUUCAAACUGGGACACUGACUUCCUCCCUCCUAAAAGAAAUCUACUUUAAGCAAGCCCUUUUUUAAAGCUGUUUUCCCUUCAGCUCAGGAUCCAGGCACUUCUGCAGUUAAUACACUUGAGAGUUGGUUUCUUCUGCUGACUGAAGGUGGAACAAUAGUUUCUGACCAUCUGAACCCACUUUCUUUCUUCUUACUGCUUUUGGUUCUUUUUUUAUUUAUUUUUUUAAUCAAAAUAUCCAUGCAUACUUCUUGCUAAGAUUGAGCAGAAACUAUCUCAGAGGAUUUAGAUGAGACAAAGCCCUGAACAUUUCAACGUUCCUUGUGGCUGAAGUGCUGACAGCAGUUUAAGUAACCAUGGCCUGGUGUUUUCUUCUUCUCUUCUGCUUAUUCCUUUUGAUGCAAGUGCAUUUUCCAUCCUUUUAUGGAAACUGGGCAAUCAACUCAGUUGCAGGAAGGGUAGGAUGAGAAAAGUUACCACAGGCAGAGGUAGAGGAGAAGCUUUUAAUGGCUUAUUACAACUUUUAUUUUUUAUUACAGGUUUGCCUGGACAGGUUCUGCAGCUCCAACAUAUCCCAUUAGGACAGAGAGUGUUUGGCUCUUUUUUUUUUUUUUUUUUUUUUGGAGUGAAAAUACUCUCUGAGUUUGGAAAAUGAGUAGGACUUGAUAUGAUUAUUUAUGCUAUUUCUGCUUGUUAGUGUCUGUCCUAGAUAUUCCCAUGUCCUUGAUGGUCCAAAAGGAGUCCCAGCCAGCCUGUGGAGCCUUUCCAGCCUAAGUUUCCAUGGUUCUGGAAGUGCAUGUAGAAAAGACAAAGGCCUUUGUUCUCCACAUCUGUCAGCCCUGCAAGGCAACCCAAAGCCUGCUGACAGCACUGAUUUAAUCACCAAAAAGGUCUUCCAAGCGAAGUAAAAUGGGAUUCUGUAAGAAUAUGGCAAAGGUACAGCACAUCAUUACUGCCAUCUGGAAAACCCCUUAUUUUCUGUGUCUGUUCUGUGACACAGAAAUGUGGGAGGAACUUUUUUAUGCUGGAAAUUCCUGUUUCCAUGGCCAGUGCCAGUGCAAUUGCUGCCUGGUUUGGUUUUUAUGAGGAAGGGGUGAUGGAUGCUCUUGCAUCUGCACAAGUUCUGAAUCCUUUUGGAUCUCAGCCCUGUCUUAACAAAUACUCUGGUUUCAGAAGGUUUUCUGGUGCUUUGCAGUCUGGUUUUAAGGUACCUCUUGAGUCUGUAAGUGCCUUUCUCUUCCAAAUCCCAGGAUUGGUAUCUGAGUAAACCUGUACCAGCUAUUAAAAGCUGCUGUGUUGUUACCAGUUUACUCAAGACUUUUUGGGAGUUCUGCCUUUUUACAUGGGCUGGCAGAGUGAUACAGGUUUUCAGUGAUUUGUUAAUACAGGCAAUGAAGUUUGCAGCAAUGAGUUGCAUAUCUCUGUAUGUGCUGCAGUGAUUUAGGUGAAAUCAGAGUUUACUUCAGAGUAACUUAAGUAAACUGUUUUGAAUGGCCUGAAAAAUGAAGUCUGGCAGGGUCAGAUUGGCUGAGCUUUGUAAGGAAGGGCCCAAAACUCAGACUUUUUGGAGGUCAAGUUGCUAUCAAACUUACACAAGGCAUUUUUAUUUUAAGUCCCCUCUAUGACAGUCUGUCAUGGUUUGCUGAGUUGUCUCUCAGAGCUGUCCUUUACCUGCUGAUCCCCUCACUGUCAGCAUCACCACUGGCCUGGCCACUGUGGGAGCAAUGAUGGGGAAUGUGAUGUUUUCCCCUUUUCCCUGUGAAUUCCCACUUCUCUGCAUCCUGUAAUGAAUUUUGUGUACUUACAUAGUCUUGUCAGUUCAAUAUCUGAAACUCGUCCUUUCGUCCCAGACUUGCUUUCUCUUCCUUUGUUCCAUCUGAAAAGCCCAACCUUUAAUGGGUCAAUUAAUGGCAGGUACAAAAUCGUUUGGGUUCUUUAUUAGUGAUUUCCUGACAUGGCUCUGGGCCUGUGUCAUUUUUGUCAUCCCCUGACUCCAGCUAAAAGGUGUAUUGGUAACUAAUAACCUUUAAACAAUACGUCUGGAAGGGAAGAGGAUCUGGAUAUUGAGGCUUUUGCCCUCCAGAAGCACUUGGUAUAGUCAGGGAUGGACAAAGCCAUGAUGGGUUUAAUGCCAAGGAGAGGGAGUUACCAGGAGACCCUGCAGCCCUACGUGCUCCCUCUUCUGCAUUUCAUGUUUUACAAGUUUUGGGGAAUAGAAAUGAGGCUGAUGUCCCUGCCUUUGUUAUGGAGAGCCAUGAAAGUGUUGUGGGUGACAGAAUUUUGUGGCAUCUCCAGUUAAAAAUGGGAUCAUCUGACCACCGUGAAUUUUCACAUCAGGGAACUCUCUAGUUAAGGAGUCACAACCCAGCAUUUACAAAUGUUAGCUGGGAAUUUCUAGGCAGGCAGUUGAAAUGGUUUGGACAGCUUAUCAUGUUUUUGAUGGCAUUCAGAGCCAGCAGCCUGCUUUUGUCUUGGCAUGUGAGUGGAAAUGUCACAUGAAGCUUUCAGGUUGACUGCACUGUCUCAGGGGGUUGGGGAGAAGCUGGCAUUCAGUUUUUGUUCAAUGUCAGCCAAAGACUUGGGAAGAAUUCAGAGUGGGAUGUUAGUAUGGAAAAAAAAUCUGAAAAUAAGGAUAAGUUAUGAGGCCAUGGCAUGUGCAGCUUAAAGGAAAGACAGAAGGGAGAUAUAACUGUCUCAGUAAACAUGAGGAGUCACUGUGAAGGAGUCUGAGGCAAGUCAUUUCCAUCCGUCAGGAACAGCAAAGCAGGUAAUGAGAUGCCUAAGUGUGCACCAGGGAAAGUUUAGUUUAGAUCCAAGGUGGGUUGAAUUCCAGUCCCUUUUUCCAUUAAGCAGGGGGAGUGGUGGUGGGUGGGGGGUUCAGCACCACAGGUGAGUUACUGGAAGCUGUGCUUGGUGCCUCAGUUGGAGGAUGCCAUAAACACUAUCCCUAACUAAUUCCUCCCUAGUACAGGCUGGAAAAGCAAAGUGGGGCAAUCAUCUGCACCAGAGAAAUCAAACCCUCCCAGUGCCUCACUCUGAAAGGGGGAGGAAGAGUCAGGUAUCAGCUGUGGGGUGGUUUGAGGGGACUGUAAGACCAUAUCAAGCAUCUGCGUGUCAGCUGAGAAAUCACAGAAUAUCCUGAGCUGGAGGGGACCCACAGGGAUCAUCCAGUCCAACCUCUCACCCUGCCCAGGACACCCCAACAAUCCCACCCUGUCCCUCAGGGCACUGUCCAAACCCUCCUGGAGCUCUGGCAGCCUUGGGGCUGUGCUCACUGCCCUGGGGAGCCUGGUCAGUGCCCAACCACCCUCUGGGGGAAGAACCUUUCCCUGAGAUCCAACCUGACCCUGCCCUGGCACAGCUCCAGCCAUUCCCUGGUCACCAAAACAGUCAGUGGUCCAGGAGUGUGCCAGUGAGGCUGGGGUGGUGUGACAGUCCAUGUGCAGCUGCUGGUGAGCAUGGCUGGAGCAGCUGUGCCCUGCUCUCCUUUGGGAUGGAUGUUUCAUGGAGCAACCCCCACAGUGCCUGCUGAGAAACCCCCCUCCUGCUUUGCUGCUGUUUCAACCGGGGGCCUUCAGUGUGGUUGAUGCAGUGGCUCUGCAGGGGCAGCCGUGGAGGAUUUUAUUGGAAUUUCUGUUUAUUGCAUCAUUAGUAGCAGUAGAAGGUUGUGCUCUGUAACAACAGGCUCCUUUGGUUUAUGAAGAGCGUGUAAAUCCAGUGUGAGCUCCCGCAGUGCAGCUGAGCCCCGAGCUCCUGCAGGCAGCACAGCCUUUUUGGGGACCCUGCAGGCAGCACAGCCUUCUGGGGGACCCUGCAAACAGCACAGCCUUCUGGGGGACCCUGCAAACAGCACAGCCUUUUGGGGGACCCUGCAAACAGCACAGCCUUCUGGGGGACCCUGCAAACAGCACAGCCUUCUGGGGGUCCCUGCAAACAGCACAGCCUUCUGGGGGUCCCUGCAGGCAGCACAGCCUUCUGGGGGACCCUGCAAACAGAACCCCAGGAGUGCUAUUUGGAUUCGUUAUGUUGCCUCAAGUGUUUGUGGAGAUAAAGAGGAGCCAGCUGCUGCUGGGAGCAUUUUUCCUGACCCGAUCCAGCUGUACAACCCCACACUUGAGUCCAGGGGAUGAGGUAGGGGAGGGAGUUAAUGGGCAAUUAAAUAAUUCUGGUGCUCUGCCUGGUUUUAUGAAGCUGGAAGGUGGUUUCCCAAGCGAGGACCUGGCAAGGCUGGCUCUGCCAGUCCCCUUGGAGCAGGGAGUGCCAUCAGCAGUGGGCACUGUGCCAGCUGGGUGCAGCACAGGGCAGGAGCUGCUGCAGGCAGGGAGCUCCCCAGCCUGUCCCAGCCUUCAGGGGUGGGCUGUGCAGGUCAUGGUUUGCUCCUCUGGGUGGGUUAUCCAGUGCUGGACCCAUUCCCUUGGGCUUUGCUCUGCCCAGCGUUGCAGGGCAUUGCCCAGAGCAGCCUGUGCACCACGGUCCAGGCUGGGUUUGGCAUCUCCUCCUCUGCAUCCUUCCCUUUUUCACUUCUCCCACCAUUGGAUCCUGCUUUGACCAUCUUCAGAGCUGUUUCCUUGGGUGGUUUUCACCAACCAAUGCAGUUUAUGAAUCCCAUCCGGUGGCUCUUUUGCAGGCUGAGCUUCACCUUGCAAAGCCCAGUGCUUUGAAUCCCUGUCCACAGAAACCUUUCAGCAUAAUUAUAAAAAAAAAUAAAUCAGUAUUUUAGAUCAUUGAUCUUCCCAAAAAAAAAAAAAAGCCUUUAGGAACUUUUGCCUCUCUUCUUUUUGGCAGUGGUUUGGUGCCUGUGCAAACGCUUCGAUUUACUCACAAAUCCAUUACAUUUUUUUUGGAUGGAGGAGGUCGCUGGGAUUUAGGAAGAUGUAUGGUGUUUUCCCCCCUUUUCUCCCUUCCUGUCAUAGUUGUAUAUGCAACUUGACAAGAGAUCCUGGCAGCCUGCUGCUCCAGAACAGUAAACAGAGCCAGUGCUGCAGUGGUUUGCAGAUAAAUAAUGUAUUACGGCCUGUCAAAUAAAGCUGUGAGCAAAUACCACUUUAAAGGGUCAUAUAUUGUGAAUCUGAAUAUUACCCUACAAAUCAUUAUUUUCCAGACCCUUUUGAUUCCUUAUUAUGCACACAACCAGCUCUCAGAACAGGUCACCUUUUCCAACUACCCCUAAACCUGACAGAAUUAGUAUUUGCAAUAUUUCUGCCGUGGAUGUUUGUUUAACCAGCAGAAAUAAGUUCAAAAAUCAUCUCUCAACACUUUUCUCUCUGUCUAAAAGUCCUUGUAGAUUUAUUUUUCCUCACUAUCUCAAUUGGAAACAUGGCACACAUUUUAUUAUUUUUUUUUUUAAGAUCCUUGCUCUGAGAUUUUAGGCAAUACAUCAUUUGUUUGAUUGGCUUUUAGGAGAAGCCUUCCUAGAGAUUUAAGAGCCUCUAAAAUACAGCAAGAUAUUUAGCUAAUGUGAGUGUUUGGAGAGGCCAGGAGCUGUAUCCUUUUGGCUUUGCUUUAGGAACAGUCUGGGCUGGGAUUUCAUUGUGCUGGUCGUGUUUCCUCUGGGUGUUUCCCUCUUGCCCCGAUGGGAUUUGAGGCUCUCGCUGGCUUUGGUAGGACCUGAACUCCUUUUGCUCCUGUGCCAAGUGGAAGGGCCUGAUGGUUAUUUUAACCCUCCUCUUCAGCAAGCCAAACAAAGCUGGGUGUCCAGCCCCCAGAUGCCAGGCAGUGCCGGCCCUCACUGCCCAGCAGGAGCUUUUUACAUCCUCUUGUGGCCAGGAGGUGAUGCUGAGCCCUCUCGGGGGGUUUGGUGCUCUGACACCCCUCCCCAGCAGGGCAGGUGUUGCUCUCUUGGGCACAGUUCAGUCUGCUGGCAGCAGUCACCAGCCUGCAGCAGUUUUUUGAGCCCUCUCUGGUUAGAAGAGAGGGUUUCAGGUAGAGUUUUCCCCUAUGAGCGCUAUUGGUUAUGACGAAUUUAUUGAGGAGGAAGGAGAGUCAGCUGGAAAGAGAAACUUUCCCCUGGGAAGUGUCUGGUACCUAAGCUUGACCUUUCUUUCUGAGGGAGGGAUGUCCUGGAGCAAGUUGAAACUGCCUCAUCUGAUAUUUUCUUUCUGUGUCUCAGCCGUGCAGCUGGUGGUGGCAGAAGGAGAGACAAAAGAGGACCAGUGUCUGCAUUUAAGAAAUUCCAGCAGGUUUUUGUUUUUUAUUCAGUCAAAUGGUGUCUCUGAAUUGUUUCAGGUGGAUGCUUCCCAGAGGCUGGGAUUUGAUUUCCUGCAGGGGAAGGAGGAUUGAGUUAGUGGGGAAAAAAAAUUGUGAAGCAAGGAAGAAAGAGGGAUGAUGGGCCUUUUGGUUUAUGGUGGAUCCUUGUAUUGCCUUUUUGUAAAGCUGUGCAAUUAAGGGGAUGUGGAAGCAGAGAAAAUUGCUUAUUUGCCUUCUGCUCUGCUCACGUGAGGAAGCUUUUCCUUGACACCAGAAGGAGAGUGGGGUUAUUUUUUCAGACAGAAAGCUGAGCUAGAAAGAAGUUUACUUGUAUUUCAGCUUAUAGGGGAGGAUGAAGAUGGUCAUCCUGUCGGAUUUGGGGAGUUUGGGAGUACUUAACACAUGUUUCAGAUCAUGGGUAGUCUUUUAAAUAAAAAGAAAUCAAAAAGUACCCUGAUGUGUAUCAGGACUGGCCACUGGGACUGGGCUAGUGAAGCUGAGCAAGCCCCAGUUCUCCUGCCUUCUUCCCCUCCCAUAGAAUGGUUUGGGUUGGAAGGGAGCUAAAAGCUCAUCCAGUCCCACCCCCUGCCACGGGCAGGGACACCUUCCACUAGCCCAGGUUGCUCCAAGCCCCAUCCAGCCUGGCCUUGGACACUUCCAGGGAUCCAGGGGCAGCCACAGCUUCUCUGGGCAACCUGUGCCAGGGCCUCACCACCCUCACAGGGAAGAAUUUCUUCCCAGUAUCCCAUCUAUCCCUGCCCUCUGGCAGUUUGAAGCCAUUCCCCCUUGUCCUGUCCCUCCAGUUCCUGAUGAACUGCACGUUCCAUAAACACCUUGGAUUUCCUUUCACAUCACAUCGUCUUUUAAUGAAUUUCAAAAUACUGCCUUUUAUAUUUUAAGCUAAUUCCUUCAGCAUCUCAGGUGUCCUGGCCUGCGGGAGGGGCCCUGGCAGGGUUGUAUUUCGUUCUCCUGGCCGGUGUGUGGAUGCAGAAUCCACUGCUGGCACCAAGUGGCUGCGGGUGGAAGCUGCUCCCGAGGUGUUGGACUCGCUGGCCCUCUGUCCUGUGCGUGGAGAUUUUGGGGCUGCAGCUGGAGAAGGGGCAGGACCCCAAUCCCCUCCAUUUUCCCUGAUGGAGGGUGUCCUGUGUGGGAGCUGCUCCAUCCCGCUCUGGCUGAGCAACUGCUCUGGCCCUGCUUUCCCCUUCUUUAGGGUACAUGGAAGGCAGAAAGGCUGUCACAGCAUUUGCUUGCCUGUAAUAAAUCCCAGUGUGCUCUGCCCUUGGAUGCAUCCCAUCCUUGUAGGGUUUGGAGGUUUUUUUCCCCCCUGAGUAACUGGGAAAAUAACCUGUCCAGGGUCAUCCCAAGCAUGAAGGCAAAGGAUUGUGAUUACCUGGGAAAGGGCACUGUUUUUCCUGCCUUUUCAAAAACCCAGGGGGUUUUAACACUUGACAGUGUUUGUAGGCUAGGUAUUAAGUACUGAAAUUAAAAUUACAGUAGGCUUUGCACCCUCCUUCAUUUCCAAAUGGGUUGCCCAGAAGACUUUCCAGAAGGCAGGGGAGUGCAGAUGUAGCUCUGCUCCCAGGCAGGGAGGUGGGAAAAGGGGUGUCAGGGAUAGCUGGGGUUGUUAUUUUGCAGCAGAAAUCAAGGGAUUUCCACCCACAAAUCCUUUGAAGCCCAGUUUCUUUAGGAAUAAACACAAUUGCUGACAUACCAGCAAAAAAUAAGCAGAA